rnacentral:rRNA from 1 species
AGUGAACGCUGGCGGUAGGCCUAACACAUGCAAGUCGAACGGCAGCACAGUAAGAGCUUGCUCUUACGGGUGGCGAGUGGCGGACGGGUGAGGAAUACAUCGGAAUCUACUUUUUCGUGGGGGAUAACGUAGGGAAACUUACGCUAAUACCGCAUACGACCUACGGGUGAAAGCAGGGGAUCUUCGGACCUUGCGCGAUUGAAUGAGCCGAUGUCGGAUUAGCUAGUUGGCGGGGUAAAGGCCCACCAAGGCGACGAUCCGUAGCUGGUCUGCGAGGAUGAUCGGCCACACUGGAACUGAGACACGGUCCAGACUCCUACGGGAGGCAGCAGUGGGGAAUAUUGGACAAGGGGCGCAAGCCUGAUCCAGCCAUACCGCGUGGGUGAAGAAGGCCUUCGGGUUGUAAAGCCCUUUUGUUGGGAAAGAAAAGCAGCAGGUUAAUACCCCGCUGUUCUGACGGUACCCAAAGAAUAAGCACCGGCUAACUUCGU